rnacentral:rRNA from 1 species
UGGGGAAUAUUGCACAAUGGAGGGAACUCUGAUGCAGCGACUCCGCGUUAACGAAGAAGGCUUUCGAGUCGUAAAGUUCUUUUAUAUGGGAAGAUAAUGACGGUACCAUAAGAAAAAGCCCCGGCUAACUACGUGCCAGCAGCCGCGGUAAUACGUAGGGGGCUAGCGUUGUCCGGAAUCACUGGGCGUAAAGGGUUCGCAGGCGGAAAUGCAAGUCAGGUGUAAAAGGCAGUAGCUUAACUACUGUAGGCAUUUGAAACUGCAUAGCUUGAGAAGGGUAGAGGUAAGUGGAAUUUUUAGUGUAGCGGUGAAGUGCGUAGAUAUUAAAAAGAAUACCGGUGGCGAGGGCGACUUACGGGGCACAUUCUGACGCUGAGGAACGAAAGCGGGGGUAGAAAAAAGG